rnacentral:lncRNA from 1 species
UGACAAGCUUUUUAAUGCUAAGGCUGCUUCUUAAACACCUACAAAUGUACGUAUGUGAUUUUAAAAAUACUAUUAAUUUGUAAUUAUAUAUAUAGGCAUUCAUUUUCUAAUACAAUUUUUCGCUACUUUUAUAUUUGAAGUACUUUGAAGCUCCUAAAGAUAAGCUAGUUGAGGUCGAGGAGGAUUGGGCAACCUUUAUGGUCAAGUAUAUUAGUGAGUUUCGUUUUCUUUUUCAACAAUUUUCAUUUUCAUUUUUUAAUUGAGUUACCGUUGGUUUGUGCUGAAAAUUCGAUGUUAAUUAAUUUUUCGUUUCAUUUUAUACGACACAGGAGAAAAUGUUGCUGGUAGAUUUAUUAACUAAACAUUGGAUAGCUUGACACGAGUUCUCUUAAAUUUAGGUGUUUUUUCGUUGGUAAUUGUGGAUUGAUUCAUAUCAUGAAAUUUUUAGUUAAGUUUAUGAUCAAUUUGUAAUGAGAUUAUUAU